AAUGCUGGGCGAAGGCUCCGAGCCACGAGACCCCCGCCUCCUGUCCCGGGACCCACCCAGGCGGAGGCAAGGGCAGGGGCGCUGGGGGCCCAGAGAGAGGGCGCCGCGAUGGAUGAAUGAGCUGUUUCCAGCAUUCCUGCUGAAUAUGAAGGCAACUCGGACUAAGAAGACGACUGCUUUCCAACUGCCCUCCCGUCCUGCAGCCGCCUGAUUUGAGGAAGGGGCUGGGAUCCUUCCCCUUGCCCUCUGGUUGUUCUUGGAGUUACAGCAGCCCCGCGGCAGCUCUGCCCCCUAGUGCACAUGUGAGGCAGCGCGCCCUUCUCCAAUCCAGAAGCCUCGUCGCGGUGCUGCCAGCAAGGGAGUUUUUCUGUAUUCACUUUGGUGGAAAUAGCAAAACUUGACAGAAAAAAAACCCAAGCCAAACCAAAACACACGAACCAUUCUAGCCUUUUCUCUCUUUCGUUUCUUUCUGAGGAUCUGGCCGAUUUGGAUGCAGAAAACAUGCCUGUUGCUUCUGCUGCGAAAUCUGCUCUUUCUCUUCCUGCUAUCGGAACCCUGUCCCUUCUUUCAAAGCCUAAUUCAGGCCAGGCGCGGUGGCUCACGCCUGUAAUCCCAGCACUUUGGGAGGCCGAGACAGACGGAUCACUUGAGGUCAAGAGUUUGAGACCAGCCUGGCCAAAAUGGUGAAACCCUGUCUCUACUAAAAAUACAAAAAUUAGCUGGACAUGGUAGCACACGCCUGUAAUCCCAGCUACUCGGGAGGCUGAGGCAGGAGAAUCACUUGAACCCGAGAGACGGAGGUUACAGUGAGCUGAUAUCAGGCCACUGCACUCCAGCCUGGGUGACAGAGUGAGACUCCAUCUCAAAAAAAAAAAAAAAAAAGCCUAUUUCAAAUUCCACCCCUUGCCUAAAAACUUUUCCUGACUUCUGACUUUCCUCUCCUAUGCGUCUUUUUUAUUUUUUAUUUUUGAGCUGGAGUCUCACUGUGUCACCCAGGCUGGAGUGCAGUGUCGCAAUCUCCGCUCACUGCAACCUCCGCCUCUGGGGUUCAAGCAGUUCUGCCUCAGCCUCCCGAGUAGCUGGGAUUACAGCCACCCGCCACCAUGCCUGGCUGAUUUUUUGUAUUUUUAGUAGAGACGGGGUUUCAUCAUGUUUGUCAGGCUGGUCUCGAACUCCUAACCUCAAGUGAUCCACCCGCCUUGGCCUCCCAAAGUGCUGGGAUUACAGGCAUGAGCCACCGCGCCCAGCCAUCCUAUAUGUCUUUUGAAAUAUGGCUGUACACAGGCUCAGCACACAGUGUGCACUUAUAUACUGUAUUUCUUUAUUGGGGUCCAAGUCUGUGCAUCUUUUGUGUUCACAGACCCCAGGGUGCCCAGCACAGGGCUGGGGACACAAACUGCUCUCAAUAAGCCCCUGUUUAUUAAUUAAUUGAUUAGCUUCCACAGAAACAACUGAGGUUUUGCUUCAAUAAACCUUGCAGAACUCUUAGUUCUUUAGGGACUCUGGAUAGUGAUCUAAUCAAAUAUGGCCUUGCACAGUAAGUCAUUUCACAAAGCAAUUUCACAAGAGAACACUAACAUCACCCAGAGUGGGAUGAGGAAGUCUGAAAUUUGAAGUGGACUCUCAGAAAGAUGAGGAAGGUGGCGGUGCUGUAGACAGGUCAAAGGACAAUGACUUAGGAGAGGUGGGUCUCUGCUUCUGGGAUAGAAGACGCAGCACGGGCCCUAGAGUUAGCUUCAUAUCCAGACUCUACCACUUGCUGUAUGUCCCUGGGCAAGUUUACUCUUCUCUCUGUGCCUCAGUUUUCUCCUCUGUAAAAAAAGGCCGGGCAUGGUGGCUCCUGCCUGUAAUCCCAGCACUUUGGGGGGCCAAGGUGGGCGGAUCACCAGCGGUCAGGAGCUUGAGACGAGCCUGGACAACAUGGUGAAAACCCAUCUCUACUAUAAAUACAAAAAUUAGCAAGGUGUGGUGGCACGCGCCUGUAGUCCCAGCUACUCUGGAGACUGAGGCAGGAAAAAUCGCUUGAACUCAGGAGGCAGAGGUUGCAGUGAGCCAAGAUCGCACCACUGCAGUCCAGCCUGGGUGACUGAGCAAGACUCCGUCUCCAAAAAAAAAAAAAAAAAAAAAAGUACCUAUCUCAUAGUGAUACAAUGAGGGUGAAUUAGCUGGUAUUUGUAAAGUGCUAAAGCAACACCUUGCACCUCGUAAGUACCAUGUAACUGUUUGUAAAUGAAUUUUCCAGCUUAGCUGUCUUGUCAUUGGAAUGGGGAUUGAUUAUAUGUUCUCUUGGUUCCCUCGAGCAGUGACCUUUCAGGGCAGUGCAUAAGCUUUGGGGUCAGGCAGGUCUGGGUUGACUCCUAUCUUUGUCGGUAGUUGUGUGACUUUGCACAGAUAACUUCUCGGAACCUCAGUGUUCUUAUCUGUGAAAUGGGAAUAAUUGUGUCUACUUCAAAAGACUGUUGUGGGUAUUGCAUGUUUGUAAUGUGCCUGGCACAGAAGGAGUGUAAUAAACAGAAGCUAUAGU
rnacentral:lncRNA from 1 species